UACGUAGGGGGCAAGCGUUAUCCGGAUUUACUGGGUGUAAAGGGAGCGUAGGCGGUGAUGCAAGUCAGAAGUGAAAGCCCGCCGCUCAACUGCGGGACUGCUUUUGAAACUGUAUGACUAGAUUGCAGGAGAGGUAAGUGGAAUUCCUAGUGUAGCGGUGAAAUGCGUAGAUAUUAGGAGGAACACCAGUGGCGAAGGCGGCUUACUGGACUGUAAAUGACGCUGAGGCUCGAAAGCGUGGGGAGCAAACAGG
rnacentral:rRNA from 1 species